rnacentral:rRNA from 1 species
UGAGGAAUAUUGGGCAAUGGAGGCAACUCUGACCCAGCCAUGCCGCGUGCAGGAAGACUGCCCUAUGGGUUGUAAACUGCUUUUAUACAGGAAGAAACACUCGUACGUGUACGAGCUUGACGGUACUGUAAGAAUAAGGACCGGCUAACUCCGUGCCAGCAGCCGCGGUAAUACGGAGGGUCCGAGCGUUAUCCGGAAUCAUUGGGUUUAAAGGGUCCGCAGGCGGUCAAUUAAGUCAGAGGUGAAAUCCCAUAGCUUAACUAUGGAACUGCCUUUGAUACUGGUUGACUUGAGUUAUACGGAAGUAGAUAGAAUAAGUAGUGUAGCGGUGAAAUGCAUAGAUAUUACUUAGAAUACCGAUUGCGAAGGCAGUCUACUACGUAUAUACUGACGCUCAUGGACGAAAGCGUGGGGAGCGAACAGGAUUAGAUACCCUGGUAGUCCACGCCGUAAACGAUGGACACUAGUUGUUGGAAUUAUUCAGUGACUAAGCGAAAGUGAUAAGUGUCCCACCUGGGGAGUACGAUCGCAAGAUUG